rnacentral:rRNA from 1 species
GACGAACGCUGGCGGCGUGCUUAACACAUGCAAGUCGAACGGAAAGGCCCUGCUUUUGUGGGGUGCUCGAGUGGCGAACGGGUGAGUAACACGUGAGUAACCUGCCCUUGACUUUGGGAUAACUUCAGGAAACUGGGGCUAAUACCGGAUAGGAGCUCCUGCUGCAUGGUGGGGGUUGGAAAGUUUCGGCGGUUGGGGAUGGACUCGCGGCUUAUCAGCUUGUUGGUGGGGUAGUGGCUUACCAAGGCUUUGACGGGUAGCCGGCCUGAGAGGGUGACCGGCGACAUGGGGACUGAGAGACGGACCAGACUCCUACGGGAGGCAGCAGUGGGGAAUAUUGCACAAUGGGCGGAAGCCUGAUGCAGAAACCCCGCGUGCGUGAUGACGGCCUUCGGGUUGUAAACCGUUUUCGCCUGUGACGAAGCGUGAGUGACGGUAAUGGGUAAAGAAGCACCGGCUAACUACGUG